UGGGGAAUUUUGGACAAUGGGCGCAAGCCUGAUCCAGCAAUGCCGCGUGCAGGAUGAAGGCCUUCGGGUUGUAAACUGCUUUUGUACGGAACGAAACGGCUCUGGUUAAUACCUGGGGCUAAUGACGGUACCGUAAGAAUAAGCACCGGCUAACUACGUGCCAGCAGCCGCGGUAAUACGUAGGGUGCGAGCGUUAAUCGGAAUUACUGGGCGUAAAGCGUGCGCAGGCGGUGAUGUAAGACAGAUGUGAAAUCCCCGGGCUCAACCUGGGACCUGCAUUUGUGACUGCAUCGCUGGAGUGCGGCAGAGGGGGAUGGAAUUCCGCGUGUAGCAGUGAGAUGCGUAGAUAUGCGGAGGAACACCGAUGGCGAAGACAAUCCCCUGGACCUGUACUGACGCUCAUGCGCGAAAGCGUGGGGAGCAAACA
rnacentral:rRNA from 1 species